rnacentral:rRNA from 1 species
UUUUGCACAAUGGGGGAGACCUUGAUGCAGCCAUGCCGCGUGUGUGAAGAAGCCUUUCGGGUUGUAAAGCACUUUCAGCAGUGAGGAAGGUCGUGUACUUAAUACGUGCACGGCUUGACGUUAGCUGCAGAAGAAGCACCGGCUAACUCCGUGCCAGCAGCCGCGGUAAUACGGAGGGUGCGAGCGUUAAUCGGAAUUACUGGGCGUAAAGCGCAUGCAGGCGGUUUGUUAAGUCAGAUGUGAAAGCCCGGGGCUCAACCUCGGAACCGCAUUUGAAACUGGCAGGCUAGAGUCUUGUAGAGGGGGGUAGAAUUUCAGGUGUAGCGGUGAAAUGCGUAGAGAUCUGAAGGAAUACCAGUGGCGAAGGCGGCCCCCUGGACAAAGACUGACGCUCAGAUGCGAAAGCGUGGGUAGCAAACAGGAUUAGAUACCCUGGUAGUCCACGCCGUAAACGCUGUCUACUUGGAGGUUGAGGUUUUAGACUUUGGCUUUCGGCGCUAACGCAUUAAGUAGACCGCCUGGGGAGUACGGCCGCAAGGUUAAAACUCAAAUGAAUUGACGGGGGCCCGCACAAGCGGUGGAGCAUGUGGUUUAAUUCGAUGCAACGCGAAGAACCUUACCUACUCUUGACAUCCAGCGAAGCCUUUAGAGAUAGAGGCGUGCCUUCGGGAGCGCUGAGACAGGUGCUGCAUGGCUGUCGUCAGCUCGUGUUGUGAAAUGUUGGGUUAAGUCCCGCAACGAGCGCAACCCUUAUCCUUGUUUGCCAGCACGUAAUGGUGGGAACUCCAGGGAGACUGCCGGUGAUAAACCGGAGGAAGGUGGGGACGACGUCAAGUCAUCAUGGCCCUUACGAGUAGGGCUACACACGUGCUACAAUGGCAGAUACAGAGGGCAGCGAGACAGCGAUGUUUAGCGAAUCCCUUAAAGUUUGUCGUAGUCCGGAUUGGAGUCUGCAACUCGACUCCAUGAAGUCGGAAUCGCUAGUAAUCGUGGAUCAGAAUGCCACGGUGAAUACGUUCCCGGGCCUUGUACACACCGCCCGUCACACCAUGGGAGUGGGC